rnacentral:snRNA from 1 species
CGUGUUCUCUUCUGCAGCACAUACAAUAUACUAAAAAUAGAACGAUACAAGGAUGGCCCUUGCUCAAGAAUGACACGCAAGUUGUGAAGCGUUUCUAUUUUUG